CGUAGGGUGCAAGCGUUAAUCGGAAUUACUGGGCGUAAAGCGUGCGCAGGCGGUGAUGUAAGACAGGUGUGAAAUCCCCGGGCUUAACCUGGGAACUGCAUUUGUGACUGCAUCGCUGGAGUGCGGCAGAGGGGGAUGGAAUUCCGCGUGUAGCAGUGAAAUGCGUAGAUAUGUGGAGGAACACCGAUGGCGAAGGCAAUCCCCUGGGCCUGCACUGACGCUCAUGCACGAAAGCGUGGGGGAGCAAACAGGAUUAGAUACCCUGGUAGUCCACGCCCUAAACGAUGUCAACUGGUUGUUGGUCCUUCACUGGAUCAGUAACGAAGCUAACGCGUGAAGUUGACCGCCUGGGGAGUACGGCCGCAAGGUUG
rnacentral:rRNA from 1 species